CCCUGGCCCUCCUGCAGCUGGGAGACUCUCAACCUGCGUGCGUGUCCCCAUUCCCCUUCCCGUCACUGCAGUUCACUUCUGCAGAAGAGUGUGGCAACCUGUAAUGAAAACUUGUCUGUGUUUGCUUACAGGUGUUCCUGUAGGCAGUGGCCUCCCAGCUUCUCAUCUGGAUGCCAUUGUUGUGCCUCAGGGGCAUGCCAGGGAGCUUCCAAGCGUGUCACAGCCUGGAGAAGCCCCCCACGGCAGGAAAUACUCCUUUUUUCCAGUGCACCGAGGUCUUGGUGGUGGCAAAGAUGCCGAGGCUGCAGCUCCUAAAGGCCGACAAAAGCAGCGUUUGGUCCUGAGCGUUGCAGUCUCAGGUUCCGCACUGUUUGUCGUAGUGCUGACAUGUAUAGUCGCUUUCUGGCUGAGGAAGAGAAAACAAGAAGCGGUACCAGCUAAUCCUGCCGCUACCUCCAGCAGACAAGAGCCCAGUAUGGAGGAAGGCAGAGCACAGCCAGGAAGCGAAAGAAAAAAGGAUGAGUUUACUCUAGAAAAUGAAAAUCUGAACAACAACUCCAGUCGACUUCCGGGGCCUAUCCCAAACAGAAUAAAAUACAUAUUCAUAAUCCAAAGAGAAUAAAAAACCUGUUGGGCUAAAA